CCCAUUUCAGGAAGUAUAUAACACGUCUAGGGAAGCUAGUUUGAGUUAUAGGGUAUUGGCCAAAGGAGUGGAGUACCACCAGUGGAGGUGUUUGUCAGAAAAAGCAGGAGCGGGAAGGACUCUUGCCUUGGAGUCAUGCUGUCCACAGUGGAUUCAGAGGCUGUGACUCACUAAGGAAAAGGAGUGCCCUGUGUCCUAGGAGAGGCUGCUUCUCUCCAAAUAAGAAUUCUUUGGCUGAGGAAGGAAAUGAGGCAAUCUAAGAUUAAUCAGCGGCCACCAGUCGGACAGAGCUAGAAGUCCAAGCCAUAGCCAGCUACUUCUGGUUAACAUUCACCCUUUACCCACAAGGCACCCAGGACACCAACAUGCUGAGUUCUAGUGAGAAAGGGAAUGAGCCCCUCCUUGGGAAGCAAGGAUAUAAAAUCAGAAAGAUGAAGGAGGCUGUAACCCUCCAUGCCCACCCCACAACUCCUUACUUCCUCCAGCUAGACUCCAACUCCUAAAGGUUCCCCAGCCUCUGGAAACAGCGCCCCCAUCUGGAGACCAAGUGAGCAUACACAUGAGCCUAUGAAGGACAUUUCAUGAUCAAAUCACCACAAAAAGUAGUAGGUGUCGGUUCCUCCUUAUCCCUUCCUGAAGAUGCAUCAAGUGGUACUGACGGCCCUUGGGCUGCCUUCCAGACAAGUUAGAACAGCCUGGAUCCGUGCACUCCUACUGUGUCAGCAUGAACAACAAUUAAAAUAAUAUUUCAACUUGCAGAUAAGCAAACGAGCACUCACCUAGAGGAUCUUUAAUGCCUGUG
rnacentral:lncRNA from 1 species